rnacentral:rRNA from 1 species
CACGUAGGCGGCUCGUUAAGUCGGAUGUGAAAGCCCUGGGCUCAACCCAGGAAGUGCAUACGAUACUGGCGAGCUUGAAUAUGGAAGAGGGUCGCGGAAUUCCCGGUGUAGAGGUGAAAUUCGUAGAUAUCGGGAGGAACACCAGUGGCGAAGGCGGCGACCUGGGCCAAUAUUGACGCUGAGGUGCGAAAGCGUGGGGAGCAAACA